rnacentral:rRNA from 1 species
UAGCCGUAAACGAUACUCGCUAGGUGUCGGCCACGGUGCGACCGUUGUCGGUGCCGUAGGGAAGCCGUGAAGCGAGCCACCUGGGAAGUACGGCCGCAAGGCUGAAACUUAAAGGAAUUGGCGGGGGAGCACCACAACGGGUGGAGCUUGCGGUUUAAUUGGAUUCAACGCCGGAAAUCUUACCGGGACCGGCAGCAACAUGAAGGCCAGGCUGAAGACUUUGCCGGAUUAGCUGAGAGGAGGUGCAUGGCGUAGUCGUGU